AGUGAACGCUGGCGGCAGGCCUAACACAUGCAAGUCGAGCGGCAGCGCGGGUGUAGCAAUACAUCUGGCGGCGAGCGGCGGACGGGUGAGUAAUGCUUAGGAAUCUGCCUAGUAGUGGGGGAUAACCCGGGGAAACUCGGGCUAAUACCGCAUACGCCCUACGGGGAAAGCGGGGACGUUCGGCCGUCGCGCUAUUAGAUGAGCCUAAGUCCGAUUAGCUAGUUGGUAGGGUAAGNGGCCUACCAAGGCGACGAUCGGUAGCUGGUCUGAGAGGACGACCAGCCACACUGGGACUGAGACACGGCCCAGACUCCUACGGGAGGCAGCAGUGGGGAAGUAUUGGACAAUGGGCGCAAGCCUGAUCCAGCGAUGCCGCGUGUGUGAAGAAGGCCUGCGGGUUGUAAAGC
rnacentral:rRNA from 1 species